UACGUAGGUGGCAAGCGUUGUCCGGAUUUACUGGGCGUAAAGAGCGCGCAGGCGGUCGAAUAAGUCGAAUGUGAAAGCCCCCGGCUUAACUGGGGAGGGUCAUUCGAUACUGCUCGACUUGAAGGCAGGAGAGGGAAGUGGAAUUCCCGGUGUAGUGGUGAAAUGCGUAGAUAUCUGGAGGAACACCGGUGGCGAAGGCGGCGUUCUGGACUGUUUCUGACACUGAAAAACGAAAGCCAGGGGAGCAAACGGG
rnacentral:rRNA from 1 species